CAACAGCACAAUGAGCCUGUCAGACAGAAGCAACCGAGACUUCCUAAAUCUACAGAAAAAUCUUGGUUAAUACUCCAAGAUAUUUGAAAUACACUACCUGUCAUGUUCCUUACAAAACAGUGUGCAAGUGUACCUAGAAAAAUAAUGCUAUUUUGAAGGGAAUUCAUUUAAUUUAGAUGUGUAUUCUUUUCUCUCACUUUGAAUUUUUUUUACGGAC